GCGUCGGUGGGGUAAUGGCGUAGAGCAUUCCCGCCCGGUUAGAGGGAGGUGCGGGUUCGAGUCCCGCCUGGCGCU
rfam:Heligmosomoides polygyrus genome assembly, scaffold: HPBE_scaffold0001646